GACGAACGCUGGCGGCGUGCCUAAUACAUGCAAGUCGAGCGAAUCGAUGGGAGCUUGCUCCCUGAGAUUAGCGGCGGACGGGUGAGUAACACGUGGGCAACCUGCCUAUAAGACUGGGAUAACUUCGGGAAACCGGAGCUAAUACCGGAUAUGUUCUUUUCUCGCAUGAGAGAAGAUGGAAAGACGGUUUCGGCUGUCACUUAUAGAUGGGCCCGCGGCGCAUUAGCUAGUUGGUGAGGUAAUGGCUCACCAAGGCGACGAUGCGUAGCCGACCUGAGAGGGUGAUCGGCCACACUGGGACUGAGACACGGCCCAGACUCCUACGGGAGGCAGCAGUAGGGAAUCUUCCGCAAUGGACGAAAGUCUGACGGAGCAACGCCGCGUGAACGAAGAAGGCCUUCGGGUCGUAAAGUUCUGUUGUUAGGGAAGAACAAGUACCAGAGUAACUGCUGGUACCUUGACGGUACCUAACCAGAAAGCCACGGCUAACUACGUGCCAGCAGCCGCGGUAAUACGUAGGUGGCAAGCGUUGUCCGGAAUUAUUGGGCGUAAAGCGCGCGCAGGUGGUUCUUUAAGUCUGAUGUGAAAGCCCACGGCUCAACCGUGGAGGGUCAUUGGAAACUGG
rnacentral:rRNA from 1 species